GCCUGGGUGGCUCAGUUGGUUAAGCAUCUGACUUCAGCUCAGGUCAUGAUUUAAUGGUUCGUGGGUUCGAGCCCCAUGUCCAGCU
rnacentral:tRNA from 1 species